rnacentral:piRNA from 1 species
UCCCAUACUGAACUGAUGUGGCCAGAGUGG